rnacentral:rRNA from 1 species
ACUGAACGCUAGCGGGAUGCUUUACACAUGCAAGUCGAACGAGUGGCGGACGGGUGAGUAAGAUAUCGGAACGUGCCCCGCAGCGGGGGAUAACUCCGCUAAAGAGGGGCUAAUACCACAUACCAAUGGAGCGGCCGAUAUCGGAUUAGCGAGUUGGUGGGGUAAAGGCUCACCAAGGCAACGAUCCGUAGCUGGUUUGAGAGGACGACCAGCCACACUGGGACUGAUACACGGCCCAGACUCCUACGUGAGGCAGCAGUGGGGAAUUUUGGACAAUGGGGGAAACCCUGAUCCAGCCAUCCCGCGUGUAUGAGAAGGCCUUCGGUUUGUAAAGUACUUUUGGCAGAGAAGCGGUAUCUGCAGAAUAAGCACCGGCUAACUACGUGCCAGCAGCCGCGGUAAUUC